CCUACGGGAGGCAGCAGUGGGGAAUAUUGCACAAUGGGCGCAAGCCUGAUGCAGCGACGCCGCGUGAGCGAUGAAGGCCUUCGGGCCGUAAAUCUCUGUCCUAAGGGAAGAAUAAUGACGGUACCUUAGGAGGAAGCCCCGGCUAACUACGUGCCAGCAUCUGCGGUAAUCCGUAGGGGGCGGGCGUUAUCCGGAAUCACUGGGCGUAAAGGGUGCGUAGGGGGCCCUGAAAGUCAGGAGUUAAAUCCCUCGGCGGAACCGUGAGCAGAUUUUGAAACUGUGGGGCUUGAGUGCAGGCGAGGAGAGCGGAUUUCCUGGUGUAGCGGUUAAGUGCGUAGAUAUUAGGUGGUACAGCCGUGGCGAGGGCGGCUCUCUGGACUGCAACUGACGCUGGGGCACGAAAGCGUGGGGAGCGAGCGGGAUUAGAUACCCGAGUCAUC
rnacentral:rRNA from 1 species